UUGAUUACGUCCCUGCCCUUUGUACACACCGCCCGUCGCUGCCCGGGACUGAGCCAUUUCGAGAAAUUUGGGGACUGUUGAUUUAACUUUUUUAAAAAGUUUUUUUGAUGGAAACCAAUUUAAUCGCAGUGGCUUGAACCGGGCAAAAGUCGUAACAAGGUAGCUGUAGGUGAACCUGCUGCUGGAUCAUUA
rnacentral:rRNA from 1 species